AGUAAAAGUCGUAACAAGGUCUCCGUAGGUGAACCUGCGGAGGGAUCAUUACUGAGUGAGGGCCUUCGGGCUCGACCUCCAACCCUUUGUGAACACAACUUGUUGCUUCGGGGGCGACCCUGCCGUUUCGACGGCGAGCGCCCCCGGAGGCCUUCAAACACUGCAUCUUUGCGUCGGAGUUUAAGUAAAUUAAACAAAACUUUCAACAACGGAUCUCUUGGUUCUGGCAUCGAUGAAGAACGCAGCGAAAUGCGAUAAGUAAUGUGAAUUGCAGAAUUCAGUGAAUCAUCGAAUCUUUGAACGCACAUUGCGCCCCUUGGUAUUCCGAGGGGCAUGCCUGUUCGAGCGUCAUUUCACCACUCAAGCCUCGCUUGGUAUUGGGCGCCGCGGUGUUCCGCGCGCCUCAAAGUCUCCGGCUGAGCUGUCCGUCUCUAAGCGUUGUGAUUUCAUUAAUCGCUUCGGAGCGCGGGCGGUCGCGGCCGUUAAAUCUUUUAUAAGGUUGACCUCGGAUCAGGUAGGGAUACCCGCUGAACUUAAGCAUAUCAAUAAGCGGAGGAAG
rnacentral:rRNA from 1 species